AGUGCAUGUCACACGAGUGGUGAUGGAUUGAUUACUCCUUUCAAAUAGGUUCCCUGAAAGUCUCCAGCACAAUAAAUAAAGAGGGAGUUGGAGGGGUCCUAAAGUUCCCUUUUUCUACCCUGCCUGGUAAAAAGCUAUGGUGGAAACAGUGGGUGCCAAGCGAGGAAUGGGAAGGUUUUCAAGAGGUUCGGGGUAAAACAGGCCUGGCUGAUGGUUUUGAAUGCUUGGGGUUGGCAGUCGUGAGUCCUCACCUGAGCCUUUCCCUUUCACCAAGAAGCUGCAAGCUGCCCCAAGACAAAAGAUAAGGCUGUGGCCGCGAGGUGGAAUAUUCCCAGAUCCAAGCCAGGCAGAAGCAAUGCGAGGCUGUGGGACAAACUCCAACUGCUUGGGUUUCAUCUGCCCCAGGGUAGGUUUUGCUGUCAAUUCUCAUUGAGACAAAGCCCUUGGACCAGCAGCCAGCUUCUGAUGGGAGGAAGAAGGCGAGAGCCAGGUCCCAAAGACAUCUGCCAAGAUAACAGCUUAUCCAAACAGGAAUCACAACCAUCUCUGUGAACGUUCAGCCUGAAGGAAGCUGGAGGGAUCCCACAUUGUGAACUAAACCACCAGGACGAUAUCCAUCAUGCAUGCUCUGAAAGAUCUGAUGCCUGGGUGAGCAACUGCUCAUGGAACUUCUUCAGUUCAGAAGGAUGAGUUAAUUGUUUCUUCCCAGUGCUACUUCAUGCAUCAUAUGACAAGGCACAUCUGUUCAGUGACUAAUAGAAAGAGAAUAUCCCAUGCGUGUAAGCGGCACAAGGCUGCCUCACACUCAACCCUUCUGAGCCUUUUUCGAGGGCUGGUUAUGCAAUAAAUAAAAGGGGACAAAUUCAUCCCAGGGAAGAACUCUUUUAGUUCAGCUUUGAAAGCAGUAAUUUGCCUUGGAAAAAUAGCCAACAUCAAAAUAAUAAUGAGUGCAUGUUACUGCUGACAGUCCUGGAGACAAGAAUUCUCCACGCAUCCAGAGCCAACUUCUCAAGUCUUCGUAUCUUAGCUCUUACACAUGGAAAGCCCUCAGCAGAGGAGGUGGAGAAAGGGAGUGGGAAGGCUUUGUAGCACUAAAUGCCUCAAGAGCUGGCUUUCAGUGAACAGGCAUGCCAAGCCUUGAUAACCAGCAGUGAGGACAUUGAUGGCACCCUUUGCUGUGUGCUCCAGUGCUGAGCCCAAGGGAUCCCAUAUAGAAAGAUCAGGGCAGGGAAGAGGGGCCAUCAACAUCUUCAUGCUGGCUCGGGUGCCAACAGAACACCAGUCAUUUGCCUUUUGCAAUCCAUAUGCAGGUUGUAUAGGACCUCCCUGUAGGGGGUGAGGUGAAUGGCAUUUGGUCUGUGCCGUCUGGGGUUGUCAGUUUAAUGAUGUAGGACUCAGGGAACAGUUUAAUACAGAAAUCUAGCCGGCAGCCUCAUUAGUCCUUGGAGCUUUGCAGUGCUUUGCAACCGGUGUGCAAUAAAGGGGAAAAUAAGAACAUAUUGUAAAGGAGUAUUUCAUCAGCUGGAGGCUGGGGAAUAAAUCAGAGAGAAGCAUGCAUUGAAAGUAAUGUAUCUGCAGGAUCUGGCUGGACUUUGGGAUUUGUUUUCUGUCUUUUUUGUAGUCACAAAUUGUUCACUGGGAAAUUGCAGCUUCAGAUGGGGUAGAGCUGCAUCGUGCUGUUAAAGUUUAUGAAGCAGUGUCACCAGUGGAGCUCGGUUACUUCCACCAGCUGAAGUGUUGGCCUUCUCUAUGUUUUUAUGACCUUUCUCAUUGUUCUUGAUUGCUUGAUGAAGACAAUAUAUUCCUUCCUUUGUGUAAGUGACCUGUGAUGUCUUUUGUUCUCCUUUUUAACAAGUUAAAAUCCAGAACAGAAGUCAUCACUGGCAUAGCAGCUCUCUUGGGAUAAGGGAGGGGAGUACUCCAGGGAGAGAGAACAGUUAUGGAAUCACAGAGUCAUAGGGUUGUUUUGGUUAGAAAACACCUUUAAGGUCAUUGAGUCCAACCAUUAACCCAGCACUGCCGACCUCACCUCUAAACCCUGUCCCUAAGCAGCACAGACAGGCUCAGAGCUCAUUACUGGAUGUUCUGCACAUGAAUCCCCAUGCACUGCAUGAGGAACUGGAUCUAUGGAGUCCAUCUCCACCAUCUCACCCUCGGUACCACUGGGAACUCAGUGGGCAUCCGGGCAGUAAUGGCAAAAGCAGAA